GCCCCCGUAGCUCAAUGGACAGAGCAACAGCCUUCUAAGCUGCAGGUUGCGCGUUCGAUCCGCGCCGGGGGCGC
rnacentral:tRNA from 1 species